rnacentral:rRNA from 1 species
UGGCGGCGUGCCUAACACAUGCAAGUCGAACGGAGUAAUUUCUUCGGAGGUUACUUAGUGGCGAACGGGUGAGUAACGCGUGAGAAACCUGCCUUUCAGUGGGGGACUACAGUUGGAAACGACUGCUAAUACCGCAUAAUGUCAUUUGGGGGCAUCCCUGAAUGACCAAAGAUUUAUUGCUGAAAGAUGGUCUCGCGUCUGAUUAGCUAGUUGGUGAGGUAACGGCUCACCAAGGCGACGAUCAGUAGCCGGUCUGAGAGGAUGAACGGCCACAUUGGGACUGAGAUACGGCCCAGACUCCUACGGGAGGCAGCAGUGGGGAAUAUUGGGCAAUGGGGGAAACCCUGACCCAGCAACGCCGCGUGAAGGAAGAAGGCCCUCGGGUUGUAAACUUCUUUUACCAGGGACGAAGAACGUGACGGUACCUGGAGAAAAAGCAACGGCUAACUACGUGCCAGCAGCCGCGGUAAUACGUAGGUGGCGAGCGUUAUCCGGAUUUACUGGGUGUAAAGGGUGUGUAGGGGGGCGUGCAAGUCAGAUGUGAAAAACUAUGGGCCUAACCCCAUAGCCUGCAUUUGAAACUGUAUGUCUUGAGAGUGGGAGAGGUAAACGGAAUUCCGAGUGUAGCGGUGAAAUGCGUAGAUAUUCGGAGGAACACCAGUGGCGAAGGCGGUUUACUGGACCAUUACUGACGCUGAGACACGAAAGCGUGGGGAGCAAACAGGAUUAGAUACCCUGGUAGUCCACGCCCUAAACGAUGAACACUAGGUGUAGGGGGCAAAGCCUUCUGUGCCGCAGCUAACGCAAUAAGUGUUCCACCUGGGGAGUACGGCCGCAAGGUUGAAACUCAAAGGAAUUGACGGGAGCCCGCACAAGCAGUGGAGUAUGUGGUUUAAUUCGACGCAACGCGAAGAACCUUACCAGGAUUUGACAUCCCGAGAAGUCGGCGUAAUGGCUGAUGUGCCCCUUCGGGGGAAUUCGGUGACAGGUGGUGCAUGGUUGUCGUCAGCUCGUGUCGUGAGAUGUUGGGUUAAGUCCCGCAACGAGCGCAACCCCUACGGUUAGUUGCUACGCAAGAGCACUCUGGCCGGACUGCCGUUGACAAAACGGAGGAAGGUGGGGAUGACGUCAAAUCAUCAUGCCCCUUACAUUCUGGGCUACACACGUACUACAAUGGCGAGAACAAAGGGAAGCAAUACCGCGAGGUGGAGCAAACCCCAUAAAAAUCGCCCCAGUUCAGACUGCAGGCUGCAACCCGCCUGCACGAAGUUGGAAUUGCUAGUAAUCGCGAAUCAGCAUGUCGCGGUGAAUACGUUCCCGGG